AAGUCGUAACAAGGUUUCCGUAGGUGAACCUGCGGAAGGAUCAUUAACACUUUUUCAUUUUAUUGAAAAUUUAUUUUUCAAUAAUUUACUUACCCACAUUUUUUGGAUGAAUUAUUUCUUUUUUAUUCUUUUUUAAAUUUUAAACCCAAAUACUAUAUUAUUUCUAACAUUUAUACACAAAAAGUUUAAGAAAAACAUAAAAAACAACUCUUAACAACGGAUAUCUAGGCUCUC
rnacentral:misc_RNA from 1 species